rnacentral:rRNA from 1 species
UACCAGCACCCCGAGUGGUCGGGAAGAUUAUUGGGCCUAAAGCAUCCGUAGCCGGUCCUGCAAGUCUUCCGUUAAAUCCAGCUGCUCAACAGAUGGGCUGCGGGGGAUACUACAGGGCUAGGAGGCGGGAGAGGCAAGCGGUACUUUAUGGGUAGGGGUAAAAUCCGUUGAUCCAUAGAAGACCACCAGUGGCGAAGGCGGCUUGCCAGAACGCGCUCGACGGUGAGGGAUGAAAGCUGGGGGAGCAAACCGG